rnacentral:tRNA from 1 species
GGAUUGUUGGUCUAGGGGUAUGAUUCUCGCUUAGGGUGCUAGAAGUCCGGGUUCAAAUCCGGACGAGCCC